UACUCUGCGAAUGCCCAGAAGCAGGGUGACCACCGAAUGCCUGUGCAAUAUCCCUCCCACACCCACCCCAGGGAAUGUCAUUGUGCACCCGUCCUGGAGGCCAGAGUCUGCAAGGAUCACAAUCUGUCUGGGUCACCACUGUCCCCUCAGCUCAGGGCAAUGUUUGCAGACUGACUGGGCAGGAUUCAACUUGGAAAGCAAAUGCCAGGCACCACUGGGACAUGACUCACGUGUUCGGCCAAUGUAGAGGCGUGGGGUAGAGGGACCCUCUGUGGUCAGUGUCAUCUGUGUCUUUCCUGACUCAGGGUCCACCACAAACCAGGCAUCCUGCUUCCGGCCUAUGGAGGUGGAAAGUGGCCCAGCCCUCAAGAUGGCCUGGGACAGGGUGUGCUACCUGCUGUCCUAUACCCAGCUGUCCCCCACUCCCCAUAACGAGGUCCUCUCCUGGACCUGGACCCUCGGGCUGGAGAGAUGCUCCCUCGGGCUGGAGAGAUGCUUACCCGUGUAGAAGACGCCAUCAGAGCUGCGACACGGGGAGGCGUGAACCAGCUCAGGGAUGGUGAAGGGCAGCCUCUGAGAAGGAACAUUUCCAGGAAAGAGAAAGAGCAGAAAAACACGUACAACCUGUUCACUAGAGGCAAUCAGUAUCAUUUUCAUUUCCCAGAGAGUGUCAGUAACUUGGCUGUUGUCACACAGCACGCUUCCAAUGGGAUAAAGUUCUAACAAACAUUCCACCCCAUUCCCUGGGACAAAUCCAGAGUGCUAUUCGAUAGCCCCCAUCAGAGUCCUGCUGUGGAAGACGAAUGCCUUCUCUCCCCUGUGUGCAUGUCCCUUUGUAAGGUGACCUGUCAGCCAUGUCCAUAACCAAGUGGAAUCUAUCUCUUCACCGCUUGACUCUGCACUUGGCCACAGGACUUGCUUUGGCUGGCAAGACGUUAGCGAAGGUGAUACAAGCAAAGUUGGACACGGGUUUGUGCACUGGCCUUGCCCUUUCUCUGGUUCCCUUGUUGCUACCACGUGGACAGCCCAAGCUCUCCUGAUGAGAUGAGCGAUGCCUGGCCCAGCUGUCCCUCUCAGAAGCCUGCCGACCGCCAACCAACUUUCAGAAAGACAGCCAUCCAGCUGACCACAGACGCCGGAGCAAGCUCAGUCAAGACCACCCAGCGGAGUCCAGCCAAAACUGAUCCCACAAAAUGUUUUUCUCAUUUUUUUCUGGAAACACCUGCUCUGGCCAUCCUGGUCUCGCAUUCCUACUCGGCAGUCACGGGUGGACCCAGAGCGGGAUGCGGGGCAGGGGUCCGGCGUGAACAGCGAACCCACCACGAUGCCGUCUGCCAUUCUGGGGACUGCAGACUGAACACGUCGAGUUUAUUCUGGGUGCCUUUGCCUUCUUCCUGCAUUUCUGCACAACUGGACUCUUACCUGCUCGCAGGACAGGACCUGAUCCCCACAACUCCUAGUUAUUUAUCCCCGAUGUUCUGAACCCAGGGUCCAGGUGUGGAUAAGGGAGACUGGCCACGAACCACCUGAAUUUCUCGACAGAGGACACUUAAGUGGACCCUGUGUCUCCACCAGGGAUCCCAGGACUUUUAGGAGGCCCCCCACCCAGUCCAGGCUGUUCUCUCCACCUGCACCCCCACACUGCAGAAGGGGGCACCUGUUCAGUGCCUUUCCACAUUGGCACAUCUCUCCAGCUGGGUGUUUGUGGGGGCACCUGGCAAGCCCUCAAACCUAGGAGGCUUUUCCUGGCCAGGGUCUGAUUUGAGGCCCUCUGGACCUGGAGGAGGGGAAAGCGCCUCCUGUGGCCUCACUCCCCACCCUCAACCCGAUGGCUGAGCAGCUGCCCCCGCCCCCAGUCCGAGGCCCAGAACUUGGAGGUCCUGCAGCCGCCCCAUGUCUCACCUGUGGCCCUGGAGACCGGAGCAGCGCCACGAGCUGGAGCAGGAGCCCGAGGCGGAGCGGGGGCCAUGGGCCGCAGCCCCCAGCUGCACUCACCAUGGCGGGUCCCUCAGCGCCUCCAGGGGACAGCAAGGACCCUGCCUAGACUUGCCCUUGGCUGACUGAAGCAUCCUGUGCCCUCCUACCUGUGACUGACUGACAUGGGGAAACAAAAGACUGGCCCCUUACCCUCAAGCUGGAACCAACUCUGAGGUACAAUUUGGGUUGUGGAGGUCCCUGUCCUUCACUCACUCCCGUUCUCUUAGAGAGUUCUUCCCAGGGUGCAACCUCAGCUUGAGUCAGAAUCCCUGCCUCAGGCUCUGUUUUUAAGAACCUACCUGAUCUGAGGCACCUUGUCAUCCCAUUUUCAUCAAAUGCAGCCUUAGAAAACCCAACUGCCUCAUGGCAAGAAGCCUCUUCUAGAAACGUGUACAUCAUAAAGUCUUUGGUUUACGUGGUUACUCCUUCAAGCUUAGCUGUUCCAAUACUCCCAAUUGGCCACGUGGUCCUAAUUUCCUAACAGAAGUGAUUGCUUGUCACUCUAGAAACCAGCCUGAGCUCCUGAGGGUGUGAAUGAGCCCUCCUUUAUGCUUUGUAUUUUGUAUACUGAACAUCCGCUUUGAAAUGUACAUGGUGUUUGUUCUUCAUGCUUGGAUUCAUAGUCAUGUCUCAUGCAAAUCCAUUCAAUUUGCAUAGACAACCUACAAAUGAACCCAAAUAAAUCAUUUGUGUGUGUGAUGAUAUGAAUAAUGCACAUUGUAGAGACUUUGUAACAUUCAGGAAAAUAUAAAUAGGAAGAAGAAAGUUCAUUCAUGGUUCCAGCUCCUGGAAACAGAGUACCUUUGUUAACAUUCUGUCAUAGUUCCUCCUGUGUUUUGUUUUUUUCCUAUGCCUAUAUGCUUUAGGGGGCUACUGUGUUCCAACACUAAUGAUGUUUUCCUUCCCCCAGAGCUUCUUCUCCCCCCUGAUAGCUCUUCUCUUCAGGCAAGGCUGCUCUGAAUUUACUGCCUCUGAGAAGGAAAGAGGAGGGACAGAGAGAAAACAAAGCUUCUUUUAGCUUUUGUUUUUGAACACUUCAGAGCACCAACCUAGACCUGAGAGAAUAAAUAAUGAGAGCAGAAAAGUGGAAAAGUCGCUCCCCAGGCUCAGAGAGAAGGAAAAUAAAGAGGAGUAGGGGGUGAGAACUUGCUAGAGCCUCGUCACCCAAGGACUGGCUCCCGUGUAGCUUUGUGGGAUCAAGAGCAGAGGGGCUUU